UACGGAGGAUCCAAGCGUUAUCCGGAUUCAUUGGGUUUAAAGGGUGCGUAGGUGGCUUGUUAAGUCAGUGGUGAAAUCUCCGAGCUUAACUCGGAAACUGCCAUUGAUACUGAUGAGCUUGAGUGUAUUUGAAGUGGGCGGAAUAUGACAUGUAGCGGUGAAAUACAUAGAGAUGUCAUAGAACACCGAUUGCGAAGGCAGCUAACGAAACUAUAACUGACACUGAGGCUCGAAAGUGCGGGGAUCAAACAGG
rnacentral:rRNA from 1 species